rnacentral:rRNA from 1 species
UCGGGAAUUUUGGGCAAUGGGCGAAAGCCUGACCCAGCAACGCCGCGUGAAGGAUGAAGUAUUUCGGUAUGUAAACUUCGAAAGAAUAGGAAGAAUAAAUGACGGUACUAUUUAUAAGGUCCGGCUAACUACGUGCCAGCAGCCGCGGUAAUACGUAGGGACCAAGCGUUGUUCGGAUUUACUGGGCGUAAAGGGCGCGUAGGCGGCAAUUCAAGUCAUCUGUGAAAUCUCCGGGCUUAACUCGGAACGGUCAGAUGAUACUGCUUUGCUAGAGUGCAGAAGGGGCAAUCGGAAUUCUUGGUGUAGCGGCGAAAUGCGUAGAUAUCAAGAGGAACACCUGAGGUGAAGACGGGUUGCUGGGCUGACACUGACGCUGAGGCGCGAAAGCC